UGAGCAAUCUGCCCUUCUCAUCGGAAUAAGCGUUGGAAACGACGUCUAAUGCCGAAUAUGACCUCCUUUUCACAUGAUCGGAGGUGGAAAGCUCCGGCGGAGAAGGAUGAGCUCGCGGCCUAUCAGCUAGUUGGUGUGGGUAAUGGCCCACCAAGGCGACUACGGGUAGCCGGCCUGAGAGGGUGACCGGCCACACGUGGGACUGAGACACGGCCCAGACUCCGUAGGA
rnacentral:rRNA from 1 species